rnacentral:rRNA from 1 species
GGUAGCAUAAUCAUUAGUUCUUUAAUUGAGAACUGGUAUGAAUGGUUCGACAAAGGAAAAGCUGUCUAUAUAUUAAAUAUAAAACUUAACUUUUGAGUGAAAAGGCUUAAAUUUCUCAAGGGGACGAUAAGACCCUAUAAAGCUUUAUAUUUUGUUUAUAAUUAGUUAAAUUAAUGUAUUAAAAACUAGAAUUAUAAUUGAUUUAUUUUGUUGGGGCGACAGAGGUAAAAUUUUAAUUAACUGCUGUAAAUAAAAUACAGCAAUGGCUGAUCCUUAUUAAAGAUUUAAAGAUCAAGUUACUUUAGGGAUAACAGCGUAAUUUCUUUUGAGAGUCCAUAUCGAAAAAGAAGAUUGCGACCUCGAUGUUGAAUUAAGAUUUCUUUAUUGUGCAGCCGCAAUAAAAGAAGGUCUGUUCGACCUUUAAAUUCUUACAUGAUUUGAGUUCAGACCGGCGUGAG